rnacentral:tRNA from 1 species
GUCCCAGUGGCGCAACUGGUUAGCGCGCGGUACUUAUAAUGCCGAGGUUGUGAGUUCGAUCCUCACCUGGGGAACA